rnacentral:rRNA from 1 species
AGAGUUUGAUCCUGACUCAGAACGAACGCUGGCGGCGUGGAUAAGACAUGCAAGUCGAACGAGAGAAUUGCUAGCUUGCUAAUAAUUCUCUAGUGGCGCACGGGUGAGUAACACGUGAGUAACCUGCCCCCGAGAGCGGGAUAGCCCUGGGAAACUGGGAUUAAUACCGCAUAGUAUCGAAAGAUUAAAGCAGCAAUGCGCUUGGGGAUGGGCUCGCGGCCUAUUAGUUAGUUGGUGAGGUAACGGCUUACCAAGGCGAUGACGGGUAGCCGGUCUGAGAGGAUGUCCGGCCACACUGGAACUGAGACACGGUCCAGACACCUACGGGUGGCAGCAGUCGAGAAUCAUUCACAACGGGGGAAACCCUCAUGGUGCGACGCCGCGUGGGGGAAUGAAGGUCUUCGGAUUGUAAACCCCUGUCAUGUGGGAGCAAAUUAAAAAGAUAGUACCACAAGAGGAAGAGACGGCUAACUCUGUGCCAGCAGCCGCGGUAAUACAGAGGUCUCAAGCGUUGUUCGGAAUCACUGGGCGUAAAGCGUGCGUAGGCUGUUUCGUAAGUCGUGUGUGAAAGGCGCGGGCUCAACCCGCGGACGGCACAUGAUACUGCGAGACUAGAGUAAUGGAGGGGGAACCGGAAUUCUCGGUGUAGCAGUGAAAUGCGUAGAUAUCGAGAGGAACACUCGUGGCGAAGGCGGGUUCCUGGACAUUAACUGACGCUGAGGCACGAAGGCCAGGGGAGCGAAAGGGAUUAGAUACCCCUGUAGUCCUGGCAGUAAACGGUGCAACGCUUGGUGUGCGGGGAAUCGACCCCCUGCGUGCCGGAGCUAACGCGUUAAGCGUGCCGCCUGGGGAGUACGGUCGCAAGAUUAAAACUCAAAGAAAUUGACGGGGACCCGCACAAGCGGUGGAGUAUGUGGCUUAAUUCGAUGCAACGCGAAGAACCUUACCUGGGCUUGACAUGUAAUGAACAACAUGUGAAAGCAUGCGACUCUUCGGAGGCGUUACACAGGUGCUGCAUGGCCGUCGUCAGCUCGUGUCGUGAGAUGUUUGGUUAAGUCCAGCAACGAGCGCAACCCCUGUUGCCAGUUACCAGCACGUGAAGGUGGGGACUCUGGCGAGACUGCCCAGAUCAACUGGGAGGAAGGUGGGGACGACGUCAGGUCAGUAUGGCCCUUAUGCCCAGGGCUGCACACGUACUACAAUGCCCAGUACAGAGGGGGCCGAAGCCGCGAGGCGGAGGAAAUCCUAAAAACUGGGCCCAGUUCGGACUGUAGGCUGCAACCCGCCUACACGAAGCCGGAAUCGCUAGUAAUGGCGCAUCAGCUACGGCGCCGUGAAUACGUUCCCGGGUCUUGCACUCACCGCCCGUCA